rnacentral:rRNA from 1 species
GACGAACGCUGGCGGCGUGCCUAACACAUGCAAGUCGAGCGAAUGAAGUUCCUUCGGGAAUGGAUUUAGCGGCGGACGGGUGAGUAACACGUGGGCAACCUGCCUCAUACAGGGGAAUAGCCUCCCGAAAGGGAGAUUAAUACCGCAUAAGAUUGUAGUACCGCAUGAUACAGCAAUUAAAGGAGCAAUCCGCUAUGAGAUGGGCCCGCGGCGCAUUAGCUAGUUGGUGAGGUAAUGGCUCACCAAGGCGACGAUGCGUAGCCGACCUGAGAGGGUGAUCGGCCACAUUGGGACUGAGACACGGCCCAGACUCCUACGGGAGGCAGCAGUGGGGAAUAUUGCACAAUGGGGGAAACCCUGAUGCAGCAACGCCGCGUGAGUGAUGACGGCCUUCGGGUUGUAAAGCUCUGUCUUCAGGGACGAUAAUGACGGUACCUGAGGAGGAAGCCACGGCUAACUACGUG